rnacentral:rRNA from 1 species
GUUCGGGCAAAUUUUGCCAACGAUGCUCACAUUCUUUGCCCAUGUUGUGAAUGCCUCAACCGUCCAAGAAUGGCUCAAGGAAGAGUGGAAGAUCAUCUGCUUCUUAAUGGGAUGUCCAGCACAUAUGAUAGAUGGAUAUAUCAUGGAGAACCUUUAGACAGACAACCUCAACAUUUUGAAGCUGAUAUAGAGGCCCCUCAUAUGAUGGGUGGUGGUGAUGCUGGCAUUGAUUUCAUGGAAAAGGUUCUGCGAGAUAAUGCUGUUUUGGAGGAAGAGGAUGGGCAUGAAGAUGAUAGGAUUCCUGACCUAUUGAAGGAUUUGUACGAUGCUGAAGAUCGUGCUGAUGGACAGAAAUCGUUGUUUGCUGAGGUGUUAGAGGAG